rnacentral:rRNA from 1 species
AUUGAACGCUGGUGGUAUGCUUAACACAUGCAAGUCGAACGGUAACAGAAGAGCUUGCUCUUGCUGACGAGUGGCGGACGGGUGAGUAACGCGUAGGAAUCUGCCCGUACGGAGGGGGAUACCAGUUGGAAACGACUGUUAAUACCGCAUAAUACCUAAGGGUUAAAGGUGGCCUUUGUGCUGCCGCGUACGGAUGAGCCUGCGUUGGAUUAGCUAGUUGGUGGGGUAAAGGCCUACCAAGGCGACGAUCCAUAGCUGAUUUGAGAGGAUGAUCAGCCACACUGGAACUGAGACACGGUCCAG